rnacentral:rRNA from 1 species
GUGCCAGCAGCCGCGGUAAAACGUAGGAGGCGAGCGUUAUCCGGAUUCACUGGGCGUAAAGCGCGCGUAGGCGGUUGGGUAAGUCGGACGUGAAAGCCCCUGGCUCAACUGGGGGAGGCCGUUCGAUACUGCUCGGCUUGAGGGUGAGAGAGGGAAGUGGAAUUCCCGGUGUAGCGGUGGAAUGCGUAGAGAUCGGGAGGAACACCAGUGGCGAAAGCGGCUUCCUGGCUCACCCCUGACGCUGAUAGCGCGAAAGCGUGGGGAGCAAACGGGAUUAGAUACCCCGGUAGUCCACGCUCUAAACGAUGAGGGCUAGGUGUUGGUGGGAUUACCCAUCUGUGCCGAAGCAAACGCGUUAAGCCCUCCGCCUGGGGACUACGAACGCAAGUUUAAA